rnacentral:rRNA from 1 species
GAUGAACGCUGGCGGCGUGCCUAAUACAUGCAAGUCGAGCGAACAGACGAGGAGCUUGCUCCUCUGACGUUAGCGGCGGACGGGUGAGUAACACGUGGAUAACCUACCUAUAAGACUGGGAUAACUUCGGGAAACCGGAGCUAAUACCGGAUAAUAUAUUGAACCGCAUGGUUCAAUAGUGAAAGACGGUUUUGCUGUCACUUAUAGAUGGAUCCGCGCCGCAUUAGCUAGUUGGUAAGGUAACGGCUUACCAAGGCAACGAUGCGUAGCCGACCUGAGAGGGUGAUCGGCCACACUGGAACUGAGACACGGUCCAGACUCCUACGGGAGGCAGCAGUAGGGAAUCUUCCGCAAUGGGCGAAAGCCUGACGGAGCAACGCCGCGUGAGUGAUGAAGGUCUUCGGAUCGUAAAACUCUGUUAUGAGGGAAGAACAAAUGUGUAAGUAACUAUGCACGUCUUGACGGUACCGAAUCAGAAAGCCACGGCUAACUACGU